CAGCAGCCACGGUAAUACGAGGGGGGCAAGCGUUGUUCGGAACUAUUGGGCGUAAAGGGUGCGUAGGCGGCCCCGCAAGUCUCAUGUGAAAUUUUCAGGCUCAACUUGAAGUCUGCAUGGGAAACUGCGGGGCUGGAGUAUGGGAGAGGUGAGUGGAAUUCCUGGUGUAGCGGUGAAAUGCGUAGAUAUCAGGAGGAACACCUGUGGCGAAAGCGGCUCACUGGACCAUAACUGACGCUGAGGCACGAAAGCUAGGGGAGCAAACAGGAUUAGAUACCCGAGUAGUCCCUGUCUCUUAUAC
rnacentral:rRNA from 1 species